GUGAGGAAUAUUGCGCAAUGGAGGCAACUCUGACGCAGCCAUGUCGCGUGCAGGAAGAAGGCGCUACGCGUUGUAAACUGCUUUUAACCGGGAAGAAACCCCAGGACGUGUCCUGGGUUGACGGUACCGGAGGAAUAAGCACCGGCUAACUUCGUGCCAGCAGCCGCGGUAAUACGAAGGGUGCAAGCGUUAUCCGGAUUCAUUGGGUUUAAAGGGUGCGUAGGCGGAGCGUUAAGUCAGUGGUGAAAUCCUGCAGCUUAACUGUAGACUUGCCAUUGAUACUGGCGCUCUUGAGUGCGCUGGAAGUGGGCGGAAUGUGCCGUGUAGCGGUGAAAUGCUUAGAUAUGGCACAGAACACCAAUUGCGAAGGCAGCUCACUAAGGCGAUACUGACGCUGAGGCACGAAAGCGUGGGGAUCGAACAGGAUUAGAAACCCGUGUAGUCC
rnacentral:rRNA from 1 species